AUUGAACGCUGGCGGCAGGCCUAACACAUGCAAGUCGAGCGGAUGAAGGGAGCUUGCUCCUGGAUUCAGCGGCGGACGGGUGAGUAAUGCCUAGGAAUCUGCCUGGUAGUGGGGGAUAACGUCCGGAAACGGGCGCUAAUACCGCAUACGUCCUGAGGGAGAAAGUGGGGGAUCUUCGGACCUCACGCUAUCAGAUGAGCCUAGGUCGGAUUAGCUAGUUGGUGGGGUAAAGGCCUACCAAGGCGACGAUCCGUAACUGGUCUGAGAGGAUGAUCAGUCACACUGGAACUGAGACACGGUCCAGACUCCUACGGGACGUAGCAGUGGGGAAUAUUGGACAAUGGGCGAAAGCCUGAUCCAGCCAUGCCGCGUGUGUGAAGAAGGUCUUCGGAUUGUAAAGCACUUUAAGUUGGGAGGAAGGGCAGUAAGUUAAUACCUUGCUGUUUUGACGUUACCAACAGAAUAAGCACCGGCUAACUUCGUG
rnacentral:rRNA from 1 species